UGGGGUAUAGCCAAGCGGUAAGGCAAGGGACUUUGACUCCCUCAUGAGUUGGUUCGAAUCCAGCUACCCCAG
rnacentral:tRNA from 1 species